GCCUCGAAAGUCGAAAGGAGAGACACCUGGUCUUGUAAAUCAGGAGAGAGGGUUCAAUCCCCUCUCGAGGCU
rnacentral:tRNA from 1 species